UGCAAGUCGUGCGAGAAAGUAUCUUCGGAUAUGAUUAGAGCGGCGGACGGGUGAGUAACGCGUAGGAAUCGUACCUAGUAGAAGGGGGAAUAGCCCGAGGAAACCUCGGAUUAAUACCGUAUACCUCCUUCGGGAGAAAGAAGGCCUCUCUUUGAAGCUUUCGCUACUAGAUGAGCCUGCGUAAGAUUAGCUUGUUGGUGAGGUAAAGGCUCACCAAGGCGACGAUCUUUAGCGGGUCUGAGAGGACGAUCCGCCACAUUGGGACUGAGACACGGCCCAGACUCC
rnacentral:rRNA from 1 species